UUUGAAGGGAAAUUGAUAAGUUAUGUUGGAGUUUCUUAUGAAUAGGAAAUACUCCGUAAGAAACAAAAAAUCAAAAGCCGAAACGUUGUUCAAAUGCCGCACGCAGAAUCAAGAGCUGGCAGCUACCAGUUAGUUUAUUUAGUUUAUUCUUUCUUUUCUGUUUUAAGCUGGAUUGCUAGAUUUUUCUUUUUCAACUGCACGUACUAUUCCAUUUCAAAUGAAGCAAAAAAGUUCUAGGAAUCGAAAGGGGUCGUGAGGAGCUUCGUAAGAAGUUCCACGUGAAGAUGAAAAAAGUUGCUGGUUUGACUUCUCAUGGAUAUAACAAAGUUGGACGCAGGCUUUCACGCGUUGAGGAUUUGAUGGUGAUCUUUUAUACGGUCGCCGAUGAAGAUAAAUUACUAUGGGUCUUUAAUGUUCUUGAUGGUGAAGAGUGAGUAAUGCUCACUGAUAUGCUUCCUAAGGACCGUUUUGAAGUAGUAUUUUUAUAAUUUCAUGGCUCAUGGCGUGCAAUGUCUGUAAUGACUAAUUUAUAACUUUGAUUGUUUGUAUUUUAAGUUAACGACUUACGCUUUCAAAAUUGCCAUGAAGUUGGUUUUUCAGUUUUAA